ensembl:lncRNA
ACAUCUUCAUUUAUACUUUAUUAUUGAUCAUUGAACAAAACAGAGUGGAGCAAUAGAAACUCAAUACAACGUGAUACUGCUUGUUGGGUUCACAUUUUGUCUAAUAUCACCAUUACUGCACAAGCUAAGGGAGCCGGACUACUUGGUGGACUUUGUUGUUUCUAGCCGUUUCCCGGUGUUUCGUGUCUUUAUGCUAAGCUAAGCUAAAGUAAAGGACUUCCUGUUUAAGGGGGCGGGUAUAUCCUGUCGUCUAACUCAAAUCAGCAAAUCACUUCCAUAUUGUUCCCGAACAACGAGUCCUGAACCACAGAAUCGUCUUCACGUCAACGAGUCCUGAACCACAGAAUCGUCUGCUUGUGUUUUUCUUCUCACCGAGAUCGAAACGAACCCGCAAGCCAAAGUUGACAGCCACUAUUCACCGCGUGAUGGACCCUCUGUGGGGUCUCGGCUCUCCUGGCUGGAUUUUAUGACGCCAGAUGGUCGGCCCUGCACACAAUGCGGCCCCCCUCUCCGCGGCCUUCACACGGACACCUUGUGGUGGGAACGGCCCGCCCAUGAAAGUAGCAGGUCAUUGCUUCAACUGGUCUCCAGAACCCGGGGACCUCCCUCUCUUCCUUCCGCCACCUUCUCGGGGUGUUUUGGAUCCUCUCGCCAUCUGCUGUCACAGUAGAUCCAAAUGUACAUCGAGAGCCUCGCCUCGCCGUGCCAUGCAGGAGGCCGCGGGUGAAAGCGCUCACAUCGUGUCUCCGACCUUGGACUUGUUCCCACAUGCAGGUCUGACGGUGUAGCGUCUUUUUUUUUCUUCCCGUUUCCUGAAACUCUCGCCUCAAGCAGCAACCCGAGCUCGUAGCCACCGAGAUCAGAUCGUACUGACACCGCAGAGUCUCUCCGUCAUCUGAUAUUCACGUAUCUGCUUUUACACGCAAAUGUUUGUGAUGUAAGAUUAGCAUUCACUGUGUCAUCACCCUGCAUGGUUCACUGCAUUUACCAUUUUCUGUUCCCCUUCUCAGCAUUUGUUCUUGUUAUUCUUUAAAUCACCCUCAAAAC